rnacentral:lncRNA from 1 species
CCCUGAGGUUGUGAGGUUGUCUGAGGACACCUAGGUCAAAGGUCAUUCUCUUUGUUUUCUGACUAGAGUAGCUUCAGAAGUCAGACAGACUUCGCAGACAGUCUUGGUUAGGCAGUCUGAUGUCCUCAACGAUUUGGCUCAUUCUCACUGUGCCAAUAUCUACAUUUAAAUUCGUAUUGUCUAUUGUGUGUCUGUCUGUGCAUGCAUGAAUGCGUGCCAUAGCACAUGGAGAGGCUGGGGAGAGUCUCCUGGGAGCUGCUUCUCAGUAUACCUCAAAGACUCCAGGGAUUGAGCUCAGACAGGCCGUGCCCUUGGCCUUACCCACUAGACCAUCUGGCCAGGCUGUUUUUAUUUUUGGACAUUUAAAUUGUUGCCUACCUACCAUGAAUCUUUAAAAACUUGAGUUUUAUUCUAUAGGUGUGAGUGUUUUGUGUGUCUGUGUACGUGUACCACUUCAUCAGGCUGUGCUCAAACGCUCGUGCUGGCUAGGAUUGGGGCUUGGACUACUCGUCUCUCUCUGUUGGUCAUCUAUUUCUUUCCUCAGAGUUUCACUAUUGCUUAAUAUUAUAGCCCAAAACAAGUUACCUUGAGAGCUUUAUAAAACAGAUUCUUAUCUCUCCACCGUGUCCCUCUUUCUCUGUGAGUCAGUUUUGGGUCAGGCCUUGGACUCUGAGUCCAGCAAACACUUGCAUAAUGUUAGUUGCAAUAAUGUCAGUCUGUGACUGACAGAAACCGUCCUUCCACCUUCAGGCGAGUUGGCUGCAAUUCUCACCUUUAAAUUGCAGGUUGAAAUCUGAAGUAUGUGGAGAUUCACUGGCUUACAGUCAGCUUACUGUGUUGUUUACCCCUUGUUAUGGAUCAAAUUAGGCUUAACUGUCUGUACAGGAAGGACUGUUCUGAUUGGUUUUUGGCAUUUAGAAAGAGCAAAGUUUUAGCAGCAGUUAGAAUAAUGAGUUACAUUUAUUGAGAAAUAACUAAUAUAAUCUUGUUGCUUUGUUUUAGCUGGUCACAGCGUUUCAGACUCUUCAGAGAGAGAAGAAAAAGCUACAAGGUAUAUUGAGUCAGAGUCAAGAUAAAUCACUUCGGAGAAUUUCAGAAUUAAGAGAGGAGCUGCAAAUGGACCAGCAAGCAAAGAGACACCUGCAGGAGGAGUUUGACGCCUGUGUGGAGGAGAAGGGACCAGUACAUCAGUGUUCUCCAGACUCAGGUUUCUCUUCUAAAGCAACGAUUACAGAAUGGCCCAAUGAGUGUUGAUGUUCCAAAACCACUCCCUCCAGUGGAGCUCCAGGCAGAAGCGCACAGUGACAUGGAGAAGCUGGAGGAGGAAGCUGGAGGAGAAGCUGGAGGAGAAGCUGGAGGAGAAGCUGGAGGGUGUCGGGGGAAGCAGUGGGUGAGCGCCUAUGUCGGAGCAUAAUUUAAAAAUGAGAGCACGGUGUUGAGGAUGGUCAGCAUUCAAGCUGACAGAAGGACGCAGAAGGAAGGUGCCCUCGACCCUAACAUUUCUUCAACAAUUCAUUCUUUUUAAAAUAUUGACUUUUUAGCUAGGCAUUGGUGGGUGCUUGCCUUUAAUCCCAGCACGAGGGAGGCAGAGACAGGAGGAUCUCUGAGUUCGGUGCCAGCCUGGUCUGCAAUGUGAGUUCUACAAUAGCCAGAGCUACACAGAGAAACCUUGUCUUGGAAAAACAAACAAACAAACCAACAAACAAACCAAAAAACAAUAACAAACAAACCACCAACUGACUUUUUUUCAGAAAAGAGGCAGUUGACUUAAGACUUACAUAAAUUUUAAGGUGAUCACAUUUUUAAAU